CGCCUGUUUAUCAAAAACAUCUUUUCUUGUUAGUUUUUGAAGUAUGGCCUGCCCGCUGAUUUUAGGUUGAAGGGCCGCGGUAUUUUGACCGUGCAAAGGUAGCAUAAUCAUUAGUUCUUUAAUUGUGAUCUGGUAUGAAUGGCUUGACGAGGCAUGGGCUGUCUUGGAUUGGGAUUUUUUAUUGAAUUUGGUUUUUGAGUUAAAAUUCUUAAAUGUUUUUAUGGGACGAGAAGACCCUAUAGAGUUUAACAUUUAUUUAUACGGCUUGUUUUGGUUUGUUGUGUAGUUGCUUUGUUUUAAUGUGUUUUGUUGGGGUGAUGGGAAGAAUUUUCUUAACUCUUCUUUGUUUUGGUAUAUUGAUUUAUAUUAGUUUUGAUCCAUUUAUUUUGAUUAUAAGAUUAAAUUACCUUAGGGAUAACAGCGUAAA
rnacentral:rRNA from 1 species